rnacentral:lncRNA from 1 species
AAGCCCUCGACCGUCGGAAGGCCGAUCUAAAGUCGGGACUUGCUCUGCCUUCGUGGCGGCACGCAUUACCGAACGUCCUAACUGAUCUAUCGGGUUAGCGACUUAUGUGUUCAAAUGCAUUCCACAACACAUGAAAAAAGAAAGACAUGCGGAGGAAAAAGGUUCAAGUCUAAAAACUUUGACUUUGAUUUCAUUGAAGAUCAAGAUAAGUUUACAAACUGGACCGAAGCCCGACUACAAGU